UCCCGUUUAGCUCAGUGGUAGAGCGCAUCACUUGUACGAACAUUGGUUCUGAAAUGAUGAGGUCAGUCGUUCAAUCCGGCUAACGGGAA
rnacentral:tRNA from 1 species